rfam:Gossypium raimondii Chr06_contig_1302, whole genome shotgun sequence.
UGUUAAAAUUUUUAUUUAUUUCUACAAUUAAAAACUAACGUGAUUAAUGAAAUAACUAGAUAGUUACAUAUGGCGUGCCUCAUGUUACUCAUGCUGAUCUACAUGAACCAGGUUUUAAUGGUAAAAAUAGAUGCAAUUUUUAACA